AGAGAAGAGGAUACUCCAGUCCAAGCAAAACAGAAGAGCAAUGGAGAGCUAGAGCAGGCUUUUGGCAGCUGGGGAUUUCUGCACAGAAGCGGUCCUUGAAGCAUCCCUUGGACAGGGCUGCAAAAGGCUGGAAGUAGGAUGAGCUUUUUGUUCAUCUCGCUGCCAGGUGAUGAGCUUUGCACACCAGACAGACUUGGUGCCAUCACUCCUAACAGCUUCCAGUUAUGGCUGCUUUCUGAGCCCUGCAUGAACUCCAGCAGGAUGCUGGCUCAAAUUCUGCAUCUCAGCAACCAAGAUGUAUGGCUAAUAAAUCCUGAUUGCAGACAAAGAGUGCUUAAGAUCAGGAAUCUCGGCCCACAGGAUGAACCGAGAAGUGGAAGACAGAGAUGGUGGCUGAAGUCUGCCAAGAUUCAGAGGAGUGCAGCAGCGUGCCAGAUCCUUGCUGGAUUUGAGCAUAUCAGCCUGCUACAAGAUGGAUCAGAUGAAUAUUUCACAGACAGUGGAUGAGAUUCCUGGAACUACCGUGGAGUACUCAAGUUAUGACAAGGUAAUCCAUAACAGCAUUGGGCUAAGAAAACAUUUAAUUCCACUUCUAGUCCCAGACAUGUUCAUUAGUCAUUAUGGAAGACUACACAGGUUGUUCUUUGGACUUUAAAAAAAAAAAAAAAAAAAAAGUGCUUUCCUUAGAUUUUUUGUUUGGUUUGGUUUGUUCUAACUAACCUCAGGAAGGUUAGCUACAGCUUUAAUUAAAAGUAUUGAGAAAUAACAGACCACAUAACCCCUUGAUAUUCCAUCCCACUCUAUAUUUCUAUGAUUUAUGUGUAAUCUACAGUAUUUUUUUCAGUUGCCGUAGAGCUUUGCAAGCACAAGUUAAUUAUUAAACUAGUUCUUUUCCCAGGGCAGUAAUGACCUAAUCAUUUAUGAUAGUGCUCAAACGAGAAAUUAAACAAACAUAUCCAAAAUAAACAGAGAUCAAAUCGUCUUUGCCA
rnacentral:lncRNA from 1 species